rnacentral:rRNA from 1 species
UACGAAGGGGGCUAGCGUUGCUCGGAAUCACUGGGCGUAAAGGGUGCGUAGGCGGGUCUUUAAGUCAGGGGUGAAAUCCUGGAGCUCAACUCCAGAACUGCCUUUGAUACUGAAGAUCUUGAGUUCGGGAGAGGUGAGUGGAACUGCGAGUGUAGAGGUGAAAUUCGUAGAUAUUCGCAAGAACACCAGUGGCGAAGGCGGCUCACUGGCCCGAUACUGACGCUGAGGCACGAAAGCGUGGGGAGCACACAGG